UAUAGGGCAGAAAAGGAAACUUUUAACACCCUUGUCUUCUUUCCUUGUUCUUUGCUUUCUACCGCCGCCGGUAUACAUGUUGCCGGAAAACGAUCGAUGCACACACACAUACAAACAGACAAGCAUAUAUAUAUAUAUAUAUAUAUAUUGAACUAGCCAAACACCAAAAGCGUAGUUUUUAAAUAUUAAUUUCACUUAUCCGUACUUCAGAAAUCAGAAUUCCAAUGGAAACCAAAAUCCUAAAAACUGGUAAUACAUCCGAAAUCAAAAUCCCAAGGAUGGAAGACAACAUUCCUUUUGAGAUGCAAGUAGAGAUCAUGAAAAUCAGAUCGGUUUCGAAAGCAUGGAAUUCAAUGAUCGACAGCCCUCUCUUUAUUACCGAUUACACCAACUUUCACCAGCAUCAUCGGCUUCUUAUAAGGUACGAGUUCGACACCUUUGAAUCAAAAUAUGUUUCCAUUAUUGACAAUGACACUCUCUCCCAACAAACUGUAAGUAAUGUUCCUGUGUCGUUACAAAGACUUAAGGGACUAGAACUUGUUGGUAUGUCUCAAGCAUUGGUAUGCUUAUUCGGUUAUUCUCAAGAGGAUAAUUCUCUUAAGCAAAGAGCCGUGAUUUGGAAUCCGUCACUUGGAAAAUCCAUUAUUGUUAGAUGUGCCUUUUCUAUAUUCGACAUAUUUAAUUGUAUAUGGUUUUGGGGUUCGUCCUGAUAAUUUUGACCCUAUGAUUGUAAUGGUCAGUAGGGUGGCACAUUUUAAACCAUUUAUGGUGUUUACCUUAAGCUCACGGGUUUGGAGAGUUCCACGUGGUAACCUACCUCCUAAGUCAAUCAGUUUUAAUCACUGGUCUCCAAUAGCUACAGAUAAUCGGUGUAUUUAUUGGAAAGCUGAUGAUACGAGUAUUAAUCUAGUUGUUGCAUUUGAUAUGGUGAGUGAAGACUUUACGGAAAUAAACCUCCCUCAAAGUGUAGCACACCGGUCUUAUAAAGAUUUUUCCAUCUCUAAGAUACGGGAGUCUCUUGCUCUACUUGAAUACUAUGAUGACGCCAACAAACGAGUUUGUGGUGUAUGGAUGAUGGUGGAGGAUGGUGUUUCAAAAUCGUUCACAAAGCUAUACACCAUCAACAUACCACAUGCAUCGUUAUAUACUAAGGUUCUAGGAUUUAGGAAGAAUGACCAACCUAUUAUGGCAACAACUACAAAUGAAUAUGGGGUAUAUAGAUCACUUGAAAUACAUGAACCACGCAAAGGAAAAUUCAAGAAACUCGGGAAUCAUUAUGUGUCUGUUUGUUGUUCCUACAUGGAAACUUUACUUCUGUUGGAUCAGUUGGAUGAGGCUCAUCCAAUGAGCAAUUUGUAAAGAUCAAAUUGCAGCUAUAGUCUUCAAGUCAUCAUGAAUCAGUUCAAGUCAUUAGAAAGGAUUUGUCUCGUGUGAGAUGGAUGCCAUCAUGGCAUACCCAAUCGAAUAUCUAUGAUUAUCAAAAGCUGCGCUAUCGCGGUGCUAUAGCGUUAAGCGGUCUUCAAGCAAAAUAGCUGUAGCGUAUAAUGGUCCUCAAGCAAAAUAGCGGUGGAUUAUUUUAUCAUUGAUCACUUGCAGAAACACAACCGAUAAGAUUUGGUUGACUUUAACAGCCAUUUGUUUCUAUUCAAGUCAUGAGUCAUGAGUGUAUGUAAGUUCUCGUUGCGAUAUUGAUUUCUUUUUGUUUGAUUGUAUUGGAUUUUGCUAUAAAUUCGAGUUUGACUAAAUAAGUUAUGAGGUGUUUCCAUUGAAA